rnacentral:lncRNA from 1 species
AGAGAUUUGAUUUGAAAUUGACCGAUAAAAACCAUCAUUUUGAAGAGGUAUGUUGAAAUUCACAUAAGAAGUUUAAAAAAAGUAACAUUAAUAUGUAAAACAUUAGAGCAUAAAUUUCUGUAGAUUUUUAUGUGUUUCGCCUUUGGAAUCCACAAAAAGUUUAAAAAGCGGUCACAAAAGAUGUGGGAUAAGGAUCGAUUAUGAUAAGUUUGUUGGAAUGUUCUCGAGAGUCACCGACAUGUGACGGUUCACGAUUGAUGAGUUUAAAAAAAACAAUUAUUUAGUCAAAGAAAAAUAAAAAAAAAUAAUAUUUUUUAAAAAACCUUUAAGGAUAAUCAUGGUCUUAGGACCAAUUACUUUUCUGUUGAAAUUCCAUGGGAAACCCGGAUCUAAGAAGAUCCAGGCAACUACCAUAAUAUAAUAAUCCCAACACAAGUAGAAAAAAAACACACCCAAUAAUCAUACCGAAUUGUUUUGAAAAGAAUCAUAAAUCAAACGCAUAUAUCGAAUACGACUACCAAAACCAACUCAAUCCCUUAAAAAGCCGCAAUUGAAUUUAAACCAUCACAAAAUCUUAAGUCUAUAUCUCAUCACGUUCUCAAAACAAAUAAUUAAACGAAUAUAUUAUCUAUGAUUAUGAGUCAACAUUUCUUUGUCGUCAUGCUUCUUGAAGACAUAUAUACGUCAUUCCUCACUUUCAAUAAUAGUGCAUAUCAACGUGACUUCCCUGAACGUAAUACGUAAGUACCUGGUCCACAUUUAACGGACGGACAUUCUUUUCUGAAGCUCUAGACAUUAUCGGACCCAUCAACCGUCGCAAAAUUGCAGAACCGCGAGCUUCACUUUUCUUAUGCUUAUGCUUGCGUCUUAUUCACCUUGGUGUUCGUCUUGC